UGUAAUUAGAAUUUUUCAUCAGACGAAUAGAGAUAAAUUAAAAUAAGAGUCUUCUUGUCUGUUUCAACUUAGUUCAACUUUCAGAGGUCUGACGCAUAAUUCUUCACAACUGUAUCUAUUUGCAAAUUAAUUUAUUUAGUAAUCGUUCUGCCUGGUUUGAAAUAUUAUCUCACUAACUUCUGGAUGUUUAUUUGUAUGUUCUUUGAG
rnacentral:misc_RNA from 1 species